UACGUAGGGUGCAAGCGUUAAUCGGAAUUACUGGGCGUAAAGCGUGCGCAGGCGGUUUUGUAAGUCUGUCGUGAAAUCCCCGGGCUCAACCUGGGAAUUGCGAUGGAGACUGCAAGGCUAGAAUCUGGCAGAGGGGGGGUAGAAUUCCACGUGUAGCAGUGAAAAUGCGUAGAGAUGUGGAGGAACACCGAUGGCGAAGGCAGCCCCCUGGGUCAAGAUUGACGCUCAUG
rnacentral:rRNA from 1 species